rnacentral:rRNA from 1 species
AUGAACGCUGGCGGCGUGCCUAAUACAUGCAAGUCGAGCGAACGGACGAGAAGCUUGCUUCUCUGAUGUUAGCGGCGGACGGGUGAGUAACACGUGGAUAACCUACCUAUAAGACUGGGAUAACUUCGGGAAACCGGAGCUAAUACCGGAUGAUAUUUUGAACCGCAUGGUUCAAAAGUGAAAGACGGUCUUGCUGUCACUUAUAGAUGGAUCCGCGCUGCAUUAGCUAGUUGGUAAGGUAACGGCUUACCAAGGCAACGAUGCAUAGCCGACCUGAGAGGGUGAUCGGCCACACUGGAAGUGAGACGCGGUCCAGACUCCUACGGGAGGCAGCAGUAGGGAAUCUUCCGCAAUGGGCGAAAGCCUGACGGAGCAACGCCGCGUGAGUGAUGAAGGUCUUCGGAUCGUAAAACUCUGUUAUUAGGGAAGAACAUAUGUGUAAGUAACUGUGCACAUCUUGACGGUACCGAAUCAGAAAGCCACGGCUAACUACGU